rnacentral:miRNA from 1 species
GAAUAUAGUCUAUCAGAUCUGG